UACGGAGGGUGCAAACGUUGCUCGGAAUCAUUGGGCGUAAAGCGCACGUAGGCGGAUUGUUAAGUCAGGGUGAAAUCCUGGAGCUCAACUCCAGAACUGCCUUGAUACUGGCGAUCGUCGAGUCCGGGAGAGGUGAGUGGAACUGCGAGUGUAGAGGUGAAAUUCGUAGAUAUUCGCAAGAACACCAGUGGCGAAGGCGGCUCACUGGCCCGGUACUGACGCUGAGGUGCGAAAGCGUGG
rnacentral:rRNA from 1 species